rnacentral:sRNA from 1 species
AAAAGGGGAAAUUGAGAGAGAGACAGAGAGACGUAUUUUGAUAAACCAGACUAUAAGUAUGAAGAUUCACGAAUAUGCUGUCUUUUUACUUCUGAUUUUUUCUUUCGUUGGGGACAUCGGAAGAUUCGCCAACAAAUGGAGCGGAAGUGAAUUGAUUUCCCAUAAUUCUGCAGCAAUGAUUCCAGGUGCCGAUGCAAUUUUAGUAAGGGCUGCCUGGAAAGCUGGCAAAAAGGGGUUCAGAAAACUGAAACAGAAAUGGAGAAGUAGGAAAAACAGAGGAGGAAGAUAAACCAGACGGAUUGGCUAAACUGUGACGGCAAUAAAGCGGAGACACCAGUGUGUGCAAUGUAACAACCCUUUUAAAAACAGUAUUGACUUUUGUUGACUAAUUAUUCCUUUGAACAUAAAACUUUCCAGCUCCUUUGUUAUUUCUUUAGAAUUUAGAUUUAUAACUGUAAUUCUCAUGUUGUCUAACGGGUUUUUAUUUAGCACUAUUGUUUUCUGAAUAAAUUCAUUUUGUGCCGUU